UGCCGCGUGUGUGAAGAAGGCCUUCGGGUUGUAAAGCACUUUCAGACGUGAGGAAAAGCUAAGUAUUAAUACUAUUUAGCCCUGACGUUAACGUCAGAAGAAGCACCGGCUAACUCCGUGCCAGCAGCCGCGGUAAUACGGAGGGUGCAAGCGUUAAUCGGAAUUACUGGGCGUAAAGCGCGCGUAGGCGGUUAUUUAAGUCAGAUGUGAAAUCCCUGGGCUCAACCUAGGAACUGCAUUUGAUACUGGAUAGCUAGAGUAUGGUAGAGGUGAGUGGAAUUUCAGGUGUAGCGGUGAAAUGCGUAGAGAUCUGAAGGAACAUCAGUGGCGAAGGCGACUCACUGGGCCAUUACUGACGCUGAGGUGCGAAAGCGUGGGUAGCAAACAGGAUUAGAUACCCUGGUAGUCCACGCCCUAAACGAUGUCAACUAGGUGUAUGGAACUUUAUGUUCUGUGUAUCGAAGCUAACGCGAUAAGUUGACCGCCUGGGGAGUACGGCCGCAAGGCUAAAACUCAAAUGAAUUGACGGGGGCCCGCACAAGCGGUGGAGCAUGUGGUUUAAUUCGAUGCAACGCGAAGAACCUUACCUGGUCUUGACAUGUAGCGAACUUUCCAGA
rnacentral:rRNA from 1 species